rnacentral:rRNA from 1 species
GCGGUUUGUCGCGUCUGCUGUGAAAUCCCGAGGCUCAACCUCGGGCCUGCAGUGGGUACGGGCAGACUAGAGUGCGGUAGGGGAGAUUGGAAUUCCUGGUGUAGCGGUGGAAUGCGCAGAUAUCAGGAGGAACACCGAUGGCGAAAGCAGAUCUCUGGGCCGUAACUGACGCUGAGGAGCGAAAGGGUGGGGGGCAAACAGGCUUAGAUACCCUGGUAGUCCACCCCGUAAACGUUGGGAACUAGUUGUGGGGUCCAUUCCACGGAUUCCGUGACGCAGCUAACGCAUUAAGUUCCCCGCCUGGGGAGUACGGCCGCAAGGCUAAAACUCAAAGGAAUUGACGGGGACCCGCACAAGCGGCGGAGCAUGCGGAUUAAUUCGAUGCAACGCGAAGAACCUUACCAAGGCUUGACAUAUACGAGAACGGGCCAGAAAUGGUCAACUCUUUGGACACUCGUAAACAGGUGGUGCAUGGUUGUCGUCAGCUCGUGUCGUGAGAUGUUGGGUUAAGUCCCGCAACGAGCGCAACCCUCGUUCUAUGUUGCCAGCACGUAAUGGUGGGAACUCAUGGGAUACUGCCGGGGUCAACUCGGAGGAAGGUGGGGAUGACGUCAAAUCAUCAUGCCCCUUAUGUCUUGGGCUUCACGCAUGCUACAAUGGCCGGUACAAAGGGCUGCAAUACCGUGAGGUGGAGCGAAUCCCAAAAAGCCGGUCCCAGUUCGGAUUGAGGUCUGCAACUCGACCUCAUGAAGUCGGAGUCGCUAGUA